AUGCGUGCUAAGAAAGAUGCCUUUAUAAGAGCGUGUUCUUCUAGUUCCUAUGAGAAUAAAGAUGAAGAUAUAAAAGUUAUUGAUGUGUCCCCUAUUAUAUCUUUGUUUUGCAAUAUGAAUCUUGAUAAUGAUGGGAUGGAAUAUCAUCCACCUUUACCUAGAAGGCGUUCCAAGAAUUUGGAAUUAGUUGAUCUUGAUGCUAAAUUUGAUAAAAGUGGGAUUGAAGAAAUUAAAACCCUAGAUGUCGCUAAACCCACUAUUCUGGAUUUCAAGGAAUUUAACUAUGAAAAUCGAUAUUUGAUUGAUUGUAUUUCCUUGUUAAAAUCCAUGCUAAAUUCUCCUCAUGCUUAUAGUCAAAAUAAAGCGUUUACUAAACAUAUCGUUGAUGCCUUGAUGCAAUCUUAUGAAGAA
rnacentral:rRNA from 1 species